rfam:Clavispora lusitaniae ATCC 42720 scaffold_5 genomic scaffold, whole genome shotgun sequence.
UUCCUCAUGGCCCAAUGGUCAAGGCGUCUGGCUACGAUUAAGUAACCACUUCUGGAACCAGAAGAUUCCAGGUUCGAGUCCUGGUGGGGAAG